rnacentral:lncRNA from 1 species
CGCCAAUAGUCCGAAACCAACUGUAAUAAAUAAUGUAGCUUCAUCCUCAUCCACGGAAAUCAUGGCCAACAAAGGAAAAAGAAAGCGUUCUAGUAAAGAAGAUGACAACAAGAGUACUUUAGAAGAUUUAAGGGAAAAAAAAUUAAAGCUACAAGUUACGUAUUUAGAAAUCCAAAAUCAUAAAACCGCACUGGAAAUUUUUGCUCUGGAAAAA